CCUACGGGAGGCAGCAGUGGGGAAUCUUGCGCAAUGGGGGGAACCCUGACGCAGCGACGCCGCGUGCGGGACGGAGGCCUUCGGGUCGUAAACCGCUUUCAGCAGGGAAGAGUCAAGACUGUACCUGCAGAAGAAGCCCCGGCUAACUACGUGCCAGCAGCCGCGGUAAUACGUAGGGGGCGAGCGUUAUCCGGAUUCAUUGGGCGUAAAGCGCGCGUAGGCGGCCCGGCAGGCCGGGGGUCGAAGCGGGGGGCUCAACCCCCCGAAGCCCCCGGAACCUCCGCGGCUUGGGUCCGGUAGGGGAGGGUGGAACACCCGGUGUAGCGGUGGAAUGCGCAGAUAUCGGGUGGAACACCGGUGGCGAAGGCGGCCCUCUGGGCCGAGACCGACGCUGAGGCGCGAAAGCUGGGGGAGCGAACAGGAUUAGAUACCCCAGUAG
rnacentral:rRNA from 1 species